AUUUAAUCAAGCAUUUAUAUAAAUAAAUUUGGGUAACGGAUACUCAACAUGUAAAAUUUCGAAUCCGAUCCAAAUCUAUCACGGAUAUUAUUUUUCAAAUUCAAAAUCCAUUCCGUGCCCGAUUGUAUAAUGUCUAAAUCUAUCUUAUUAAAUUUUGAUCGGAUCAGAUACUCAUAAAAAUCAGACUCGUUUAUCAACCCUAGUUGUGAGACAAAUUUAAACAAUAAUUAUUCUUUUCUACCAAGAAAGAUGAGGGCGGAAUUAAAAUUCUUUAUGUUAAAAAUAAAUAAAUAAAAUCUUCAUAAAAAUAAAAAAAAAA
rnacentral:misc_RNA from 1 species